CACGGCAAGAAAGGAAAGUAGAUGGUGGUAAGAUGCUGUACCUAAGGACAAUGGAUAUGGAGACCUUAACUGGUCCUCAAGCAGUCCAGAAAGCUGUUUCAGAGCUGUUAUUAGAAAACGAUUCAAUAGCCUCAACUGCUGUUCAUUUCAGAGCCACUGAUAAAGGAAUUA